rnacentral:rRNA from 1 species
CUUGGUCAUUUAGAGGAAGUAAAAGUCGUAACAAGGUCUCCGUUGGUGAACCAGCGGAGGGAUCAUUACCGAGUUUACAACUCCCAAACCCCUGUGAACAUACCAAUUGUUGCCUCGGCGGAUCAGCCCGCUCCCGGUAAAACGGGACGGCCCGCCAGAGGACCCCUAAACUCUGUUUCUAUAUGUAACUUCUGAGUAAAACCAUAAAUAAAUCAAAACUUUCAACAACGGAUCUCUUGGUUCUGGCAUCGAUGAAGAACGCAGCAAAAUGCGAUAAGUAAUGUGAAUUGCAGAAUUCAGUGAAUCAUCGAAUCUUUGAACGCACAUUGCGCCCGCCAGUAUUCUGGCGGGCAUGCCUGUUCGAGCGUCAUUUCAACCCUCAAGCCCCCGGGUUUGGUGUUGGGGAUCGGCGAGCCCUUGCGGCAAGCCGGCCCCGAAAUCUAGUGGCGGUCUCGCUGCAGCCUCCAUUGCGUAGUAGCUAACACCUCGCAACUGGAACGCGGCGCGGCCAAGCCGUUAAACCCCCAACUUCUGAAUGUUGACCUCGGAUCAGGUAGGAAU